rnacentral:rRNA from 1 species
GUGGGGAAUCUUAGACAAUGGGGGAAACCCUGAUCUAGCCAUGCCGCGUGAGCGAUGAAGGCCUUAGGGUUGUAAAGCUCUUUCAGAGGGGAAGAUAAUGACGGUACCCUCUGAAGAAGCCCCGGCUAACUCCGUGCCAGCAGCCGCGGUAAUACGGAGGGGGCUAGCGUUGUUCGGAAUUACUGGGCGUAAAGCGCACGUAGGCGGACCAGAAAGUCAGGGGUGAAAUCCCGGGGCUCAACCCCGGAACUGCCUUUGAAACUCCUGGUCUUGAGGUCGAGAGAGGUGAGUGGAAUUCCGAGUGUAGAGGUGAAAUUCGUAGAUAUUCGGAGGAACACCAGUGGCGAAGGCGGCUCACUGGCUCGAUACUGACGCUGAGGUGCGAAAGCGUGGGGAGCAAACAGGAUUAGAUACCCUUGUAGUCC